AUAAAUACACACACGUGCACAGAAAUAAAACCUGGAUUAUAAAUAAAAUAAAAUCUUGGGUUAGCAGUCUGAGUGAUGCUCUGGGAAAAAGUGCUGUAGGCACACAUAUCAAAUUUGAUGCAUCUGUUCUUGCAGUGGCUGCCUGGGAGCUCUCCAGAACAAACCCAGCCUCCUGAGCCCGGCUUACAUAAUCCUGCUCAGCAGAGCCGGCCAGGGGGGGAUGCUGCCCGGGGAUUUCCAGUGAGACCCUCGUGUCACCCAAACCUGCUUCUAAACAAGCCCUUCAGCUACUGCUGAGUGUCUGAAACAGUGAGAAUGAAGUUAAUCUACUGCCUUGUCACUGAGAACAAAUCGGGGUUUCACCCACAUUUCGUUAUUUUAUACCACAGAACUCAGCUACCUGGGAAAUAUAUUUAAAAGAGUCAUUUUCAGCAGCUGCAGCAGAGCUCUGGCAGGUGCCGGUCCCUGGGCAGCAGCACCGCUGGGUGACUAAGCAGGAGAGUCCUAAAAGCUUUAUUCGACAGCAGCAGAACAGGCUGGGGGGGCGGUCAGAGCCCGACCUGAACCACGGCGAUCACUUACACGGAUAAUCCUGGAACGCCGCGCUCAGCCCCAUCCCGGAUGGAUCCCGGCGCGGUAUCCAGCUCUCUACAGCUUUCCAAAGGAGAGAAUUCCAUCCUCGGGGGAUUUCGCUGUUGAAUUCGAAGUCUGGGGAAGUCAAAGCAGCAUAAACACCGCACGGCCCAAGAAGAGGCAGCCGGCUGGCACAGAUAUGCCAAAUGCCGGGACGGCACCUCCCGCUGUGCCCCACAUAUCGUACAAAGAACCUCCCCGGCGCUCCAGAUGCCUCCCGUUAUCUGCCCUGCAAGAGCAGCUGCUGCGGCGCCGAUAGCCCGAGUGCUGCCUGCGAGGCAGCGUUAAUGGCACAAAAAACCCGUCCUUGGCUAAAGCGGCGAGGCAGAGAACAAGAUUGUUCCGAAAAGGGCCGGCCCGAUUUCAAUUGUGCCGCGCGCAGGUAACGACUGUAACGCAAAAUAAUCCUCAAUCCGAGCAUCGCCCCCCUGAGCGCAGAGAAUCGCGCCGUGUGUCGGCCACGGGGACGUCGCAACUGAGGUAAAAACCGCUGCGAACGCAGGCGAGGGAGGGGGAAGCUUAAUACUAAAGCAAAUACCUGAAAAGAUUGGAGCAACUGCGCUUGGUUUAACGCUUAAUCAGAUCCAGAAGAGCUCUGACCUACAUACUCGCAGCAUCCCCGGGCUGGGGCUCAGCCGGCUGAGCGGGGGAAGGGGUUUGAACGCGCCGAGCGGGGGGAGCAGCUCCCGGACGCAGCCCUGCCCCGGCUCCACAGCCCCCGAUUCCCUUCCUGGCUGCUUCUCUCAGGCAAAAAUCACGGAGCCUCCCGCCCCUCAGAACACCUCACAUUCCACUUUGACUGAGAAACUGCCUUUUUUUUUUUUUUGCUGCUGCUGCUGGGUGAUUUAGAGACUAUGGAGAUAACACACUGAUUAUUUUUCAAUACUAUGAGCGUGACAUGGGAUUGUCAAGGUCUAAUGACAAUCAGGCUUGAAAGGGCUCAGCUUUGCUCCAUGAAACUGCACAGAACUCAGCCUGGAUUCUCUGAACCAGAGAGAGGUUCCCUCAGCCAGGUACAACCAUGGAAUCUGAACAAAAACCUCAUCUACAUCUAGGGGAGAAUGCUGCAAAAAUCCAAAAAUCCUCUUUCCCCCCCCCCCCCCAGGAAUACAAAAGAUAAGGAACGUUUUUUUUAAAACAAGCAGCCACAUCAACAAGUUUGAAAACAAUUGAAGCGACUGGUUCAGUGUAAAACCAGAAAACAUCAGAAUUAUUCAUGUGAGAGAGAUGGCAGGAAGACACCACUGAGCUCAAAGGCCUGUGCCACUGUUGUUUAAAGCAGUCUUGCAACAAUGCAGUGGCAGAAGAGGAAAAUUCUUGUUCUCAGUACAAAUCUGAAAGAGCCAAUUAUAUGAAAAGCUAAUUACUGCAUUUCCACUUCAUUAAAACUUCUGCUGCAGCAGCA